ensembl:lncRNA
CCUGACAAUUCCGAGGGGUUCAAGAAUUUCAUAGCAGAUGGGACACCUCCUUGGGUUGGGCAGAAUAUGAACAAAAAAAGCCAAGUUUCUUCUAAAAAUCCCCUGACAACUGCUUGGUAAUAAUUUUCCCCUCCUAAAUGACCUUCACAAAUUUCCUUCCUAAGCCCUAACACACUCAUCAACCUGUGUACCAAGUAAUCGUUGCCACCUGCCUAUUCUAAUAGGCUCCUGUGGGUCUGUGCCCCUUCUAAUCCCUCCCAGGGGGGUGAUCAGGCCCCCUUCUUCCACCCUACUGGGUGGGUUCCUCCUCACCUGAGCGCUCAGUUCCCCUGCUGCUGUCCACUACCUGCUGAUGUGAAAGGUCCAGGCAUUGAGAAGCAGAAUCCUUCCAGAAGGGCGAGGCACCUUCCCCCUCUAGAAUAUUUGAGCUGCAAGGCCUCGGAGUAGUCCCAAAUGGGACUCGUCUCCUCAAAGUGAGGAGUUUCCCGGCCAAUGCACCAAAUGUUGUAGCCAUGCGUUCCGUGAAACAAACUGCCCUCCACUAUCUGCAUUGUCCUCCUGAGUGAAUUUGUUUCCCAGAACGCGUGGCUACAACACUCUUACAUCACCUGCUUGUCAGGCAGAUUUUUUACCUCUAGUGCCACCUUGGAAGCCCCAAGAUCCUCGUUGGGGACACAUAAGUCCUCUCUUUAUUUUUUAUAUUUUGAACACACUGUGAGCCAUGCAGGAUCUUAGUUCCCCAACCAGGGAUCAAACCCAUGCCCUCUGCAGUGGAGGUGUGGAGUCACCAACAAGAGCAAAGCAAUAAAAGAUCCCUCAAACGUCCCUCUGCAGAAGAAUGGAUGGGAUCAGUUGUGGUGUUUUCCAUACACGGACUCAUGUGUGAUACAGCAAAGGGAAGGAGUGGAUCCUGUCAAUAUGAAUGAAUCCUUCACACGAAGGGACAAGGAAAUCUUGGGAGAAGAUGAACACAGUGAGAUCAUUUAUUCUGCUUGCCCAGCCACAUGCAAAAACAAAUAAUCAUGUUUAGAGAAGAAAAUUGUUCAUAGUCAAACUCUAAAGGAAAAUACAGGGACGAUAACCCCCACUUUCUAGUAGUUGUUUCCACAUUAGGAAGAGAUGAGGCUGGAAAAGAGAGAGGGGCCAGUGGGCUUCCCAUGGCUUCCACGAUGCUUACUGGAGCUGUUUAUUCACGUUAUCGUUUUUAUGUCUUAUCAUCUAUUUACAUUAUAAGAGCAUAAGUUCCAU